GUGGAUGGGGCCUCCCGUCCCCAAGUGAAUGAGAGCCCGUGCGCUUGCAUCCGUGUUGUGUCUUUCGGGAGCACCCAUGAAAGCAGAUGUUAAUGGACAACCAUGCACGCUCAUAGAGGUUCCACAAGGUACGGCCACUCCCGAGCCAAUGACAUUUCUGUGGACCAGUGAGAAUCCCUGACAAACAACUUCUGCAAAAGUGUGAACGCUUCAAGGCACCUUCAAGCCUGCACAAGACCACAGUCCUCUACCUUUGUGAUUGAAUCAACUCUCUUUGAAUGAGUAUCUCACCUUUGUGAUUAUCUUAGGUUGAUAAACGCUAUCUGUAUCUGUUUCUAAGCCUACCUGUCUGUCUAUAUCACUAUAU